rnacentral:rRNA from 1 species
UGCAGUCGAGCGGAAACGAGUUAUCAGAACCUUCGGGGGACGAUAACGGCGUCGAGCGGCGGACGGGUGAGUAAUGCCUAGGAAAUUGCCCUGAUGUGGGGGAUAACCAUUGGAAACGAUGGCUAAUACCGCAUGAUGCCUACGGGCCAAAGAGGGGGACCUUCGGGCCUCUCGCGUCAGGAUAUGCCUAGGUGGGAUUAGCUAGUUGGUGAGGUAAGGGCUCACCAAGGCGACGAUCCCUAGCUGGUCUGAGAGGAUGAUCAGCCACACUGGAACUGAGACACGGUCCAGACUCCUACGGGAGGCAGCAGUGGGGAAUAUUGCACAAUGGGCGCAAGCCUGAUGCAGCCAUGCCGCGUGUGUGAAGAAGGCCUUCGGGUUGUAAAGCACUUUCAGUCGUGAGGAAGGUAGUGUAGUUAAUAGCUGCAUUAUUUGACGUUAGCGACAGAAGAAGCACCGGCUAACUCCGUGCCAGCAGCCGCGGUAAUACGGAGGGUGCGAGCGUUAAUCGGAAUUACUGGGCGUAAAGCGCAUGCAGGUGGUUUGUUAAGUCAGAUGUGAAAGCCCGGGGCUCAACCUCGGAAUUGCAUUUGAAACUGGCAGACUAGAGUACUGUAGAGGGGGGUAGAAUUUCAGGUGUAGCGGUGAAAUGCGUAGAGAUCUGAAGGAAUACCGGUGGCGAAGGCGGCCCCCUGGACAGAUACUGACACUCAGAUGCGAAAGCGUGGGGAGCAAACAGGAUUAGAUACCCUGGUAGUCCACGCCGUAAACGAUGUCUACUUGGAGGUUGUGGCCUUGAGCCGUGGCUUUCGGAGCUAACGCGUUAAGUAGACCGCCUGGGGAGUACGGUCGCAAGAUUAAAACUCAAAUGAAUUGACGGGGGCCCGCACAAGCGGUGGAGCAUGUGGUUUAAUUCGAUGCAACGCGAAGAACCUUACCUACUCUUGACAUCCAGAGAACUUUCCAGAGAUGGAUUGGUGCCUUCGGGAACUCUGAGACAGGUGCUGCAUGGCUGUCGUCAGCUCGUGUUGUGAAAUGUUGGGUUAAGUCCCGCAACGAGCGCAACCCUUAUCCUUGUUUGCCAGCGAGUAAUGUCGGGAACUCCAGGGAGACUGCCGGUGAUAAACCGGAGGAAGGUGGGGACGACGUCAAGUCAUCAUGGCCCUUACGAGUAGGGCUACACACGUGCUACAAUGGCGCAUACAGAGGGCGGCCAACUUGCGAAAGUGAGCGAAUCCCAAAAAGUGCGUCGUAGUCCGGAUUGGAGUCUGCAACUCGACUCCAUGAAGUCGGAAUCGCUAGUAAUCGUGGAUCAGAAUGCCACGGUGAAUACGUUCCCGGGCCUUGUACACACCGCCCGUCACACCAUGGGAGUGGGCUGCAAAAGAAGUAGGUAGUUUAACCUUCGGGGGGACGCU